rnacentral:rRNA from 1 species
AUGUGUGUCCAGAGGGGUAGAAACCCCCCAGGCAUCUUGGAUGGGCUCUACGGCAUACAGAUUGCUCGUCGACCGCCGCAGACACAGUGCGAAGGUGAAGCCGUCCGGACCACCUUCACCGAUUCGCCAACUUGUGAACACCAAAACGGCGGUGGAGCAGUCGCGCAACGACAUCAAAGACUGCAGAUACGACGACUGUGGCAGCAAAGGCCCUCAUGCUUGAAGCCUAUCCACUGUAGCAUUACAUGUGACAAGCAUGCUGGUGAAACUUUUGCAAACGUUGUCACCUCUCUGCCCUUCAUCAUCCUUGGACUGCAUACACCAAGGAAGAACUUGAACGCUGCCAUCUACGCUAACUCGCUGGUUGGAGUAGGAAUAGCUUCAGGCCUGUAUCAUUCCUCCAGAGGAGAAAUCAGGAAAAUCCUGCGAUGGGCCGACUAUACUAUGAUCGCCACCACUACGUUGUGUUUAUCCAGGGCAGUCAGGAAUGAGAACCCAGGACUACUGAUGGCAGCAUCAACAUUGCUGCUGCCGUUUCAGCCUUUCAUGGUUUCAGCUGUCCACACCGGGAUGAUGGAGGUUUCCUUCGCAAAGAGAGCAUCAGUUGAACCAGAGCUCAGAACGGUACAUAACCUGCACAAGAUGUCAUCUCUUUUGGGAGGUGCGCUGUUUAUUGCCGACGAUUACUUCCCAGAGACACCCUAUAUCCAUGCUGCAUGGCAUCUUGCUGCUGCUAUUGGCAUUGGCACAUGCAAUAAGCUUCUCGGGUGA